CCUACGGGGUGCACCAGUGGGGAAUAUUGCACAAUGGGCGCAAGCCUGAUGCAGCCAUGCCGCGUGUAUGAAGAAGGCCUUCGGGUUGUAAAGUACUUCCAGCGGGGAGGAAGGUGUUGAGGUUAAUAACCUCAGCAAUUGACGUUACCCGCAGAAGAAGCACCGGCUAACUCCGUGCCAGCAGCCGCGGUAAUACGGAGGAUGCAAGCGUUAAUCGGAAUUGCUGGGCGUAAAGCGCACGCAGGCGGUCUGUCAAGUCGGAUGUGGAAUCCCCGGGCUCAACCUGGAACUGCAUUCGAAACUGGCAGGCUAGAGUCUUGUAGAGGGGGGUAGAAUUCCAGGUGUAGCGGUGAAAUGCGUAGAGAUCUGGAGGAAUACCGGUGGCGAAGGCGGCCCCCUGGACAAAGACUGACGCUCAGGUGCGAAAGCGUGGGGAGCAAACAGGAUUAGAUACCCCUGUAGUC
rnacentral:rRNA from 1 species